rnacentral:rRNA from 1 species
GACGAACGCUGGCGGCGUGCUUAACACAUGCAAGUCGAGCGGUAAGGCCCUUUCGGGGGUACACGAGCGGCGAACGGGUGAGUAACACGUGGGUGACCUGCCCUUAGCUCUGGGAUAAGCCUGGGAAACUGGGUCUAAUACCGGAUACGACUCCAUGACGCAUGUUGUGGGGUGGAAAGCCUUGUGCGGCUAGGGAUGGGCCCGCGGCCUAUCAGCUUGUUGGUGGGGUGAUGGCCUACCAAGGCGACGACGGGUAGCCGGCCUGAGAGGGCGACCGGCCACACUGGGACUGAGACACGGCCCAGACUCCUACGGGAGGCAGCAGUGGGGAAUCUUGCGCAAUGGGCGAAAGCCUGACGCAGCGACGCCGCGUGGGGAUGACGGCCUCGGUU